GUAAAUAUAGUUUAAAACAAAACAUUAGACUGUGAAUCUGACAACAGGAAAUAAACCUCCUUAUUUACC
rnacentral:tRNA from 1 species